rnacentral:lncRNA from 1 species
GGGGCAAUAGGAACCAACAAUACCGAGCAAGUCCGUCUAUAAUCCUUGAAGCUGAUGGGCUUAAUGCAGGAAAGCGACCUCAAGUUAUGCAGGCCAUGCCAUUGUUCCUGCAAGGACGAUAAAUGUGAUGCAACGAAAUGCUGCUAUCUGGCAAAGUGUACCACGCAACGACCUCUCACUUGUGUGCUAGACUUGAUUCAGUGCGGCAGUUGUGAUAAUUGCAAGUGAUCACUGCAUGUACAUGAUGGAUUGGUGGAUGACAUCAUGACAAUAAAGAUUUCCGAAAAAACCUUUACCUUUUUUGAGUGGACAAACAGAUUUGACUUUCAGCAAUUGAGGGGGGUUAAAUUUUUAUGAGUAGUAGUUAGAUGUAUAUAAGCAAACCAUCAAAACGGUGUCGUCAAUAGUCAACACGCCCAACAAUUGACAAAAAAAAGUACUCCCGUGGCAUUAGGUACUCAAGUGCUUGUGUCUGCCAUUAGCUAGACAUAGCAAAAGAGCCCUGCGUUGCAAGAAAAAUAUCACAUUUAGCAUCGACAAUGCUUACUUCUUCUCAUCGUUUAUCAGGUCUCCCUUUUAUUUCUUGUUGUCAUUUAUUUCUUUUAUGACGCACAUCCCAUCUUUUGCCGGAUCUCUUCAGAUUUUUCUGCCAUGCGCCCUUUCUUUUAGGACACUGAUAUUUGCCGAAUGUCCCCCAUCAUUUCGUUGGGUAUGAGCGAUCCCUCCGCCCGAAUGAAAUCGUUCGGUACGAGCGAUCCCUCCGCCUAAACGGAUGGGGAUCCUCCUAGCCCGAACCCACAGUGCGACCAGUUUGCUCGGCUUUCUUCGGCUUGGCUACCUAGCCCAACCAAUAGCGUAUGAAUUUUACCAUGUAAAAAUGUUACAAUGAAUUAUUAUCUAAAACCCCUAUUUUUUGAUACAAAAAAAUAGAGAAACCAUACAAUACAGAAAAUCACCCAUUGAAUAAAUGGCAAAUGAAUGAAAACUUUGUAGGUCAAAGGCAAGUCUGUAGAAAACUACUUAUAUCAAGAAAAUAUGUACACAAAAAAUGGCAAUUUUUUUUGCAUAUAUGGCAAAUCACGAUUAUACUGUGAAAACUAGGAAAAGCUUAAGUUGCCGAUGAAAAGAAUAAAUUGCCAUGAUUAUGCAAAUAAAUUUGCCAUGGGUGCAUGAAAAACUAAAGUAGCCAUGGGUAUGAAAAUAAAAUUGCCAUCACUUUAAAAAUAAAUUUUCCAUGAUAGUAGGAAAAACAAAAUUUGUCAUUGUCCAUUAAGAAGCUAAAUUGCUGCGGAACUGAAAAUAAGUUGCCAUGGGUAUUAAAAUUAAAUUGCCAUGUCUUUGAAUAUAAAUAUGCCGUGGUCGAGCGAUUGAGUUUGCCAUGGCCUAAGAAAUUAAGCAAAUUCUCAUUGAUGGCAAUAUAGAAAUUUUUGUGACAUGGCAAUUUUUGAUUUAUUUUCUUUAGCCGAUGGAAAAUUCGGAAAAGAUAAAAACUACAUUGACAUGACAAUUAUUAAAAAAAAUCGUGUUAUGAACAUAGUUCAUUGAUAUCAUAAAUAAAUCUCUAAAUCAUUACAAACGAUCUAAAAACAAUUUAUAAAUCUUACAAUCUCUAAAUAUGUAAGGUGCCAUGGCAAACAAAAAAGAAAAAUUGCCAUGUGCCUCGUAUAUGAAUUUGCCAUGUGCUCAUGUUUGAAUUUGCCAUGCUACAAAACAAAAGCCUAAAGAAAGAAAAAUAUUAUGAAUGUGCCAUGUGACCAUAUGAGAAUUUGCCAUGUGAUUUUUUUAAUUUUCCAUGUUAUGAAGCCCAUAGGAAUAUUUACCAUAUCCAUGGCAAACAUGUAUACAAAUCUUAUGCAAAUAUCGAGGCAAUAAUUACCAGGUGUGAAAAACCUAGAAGGAGCGCACGAUUUGCCAUGGAAAAAAUCAUUGUUGGCUUAAUGUUGUGCCAUUACAAAAAAUAUUGAUUAAUAACUCUACUUGAAACUUUUUGAUAAAAGUGAUGGCAACUAUAUGUCUGCUAAAAAUUGUCAUGAUCCAUAAUGUGAAUUUUCCAUGUGCUCAUAUAUGAAUUUGCCAUGUGCUCAUGUAUGAAUUUGCCGUGCUACAAAACAAAAGCCUAAAGAAAGAAAAAUGUUAUGAAUGUGCCAUGCGACCAUAAGAGAAUUUUCCAUGUGAACAAAAAUUAAUUUGCCAUGUUAUGAAGCCUAUAGGAAUAUUUACCAUUAUCCAUGGCAAACAUGUAUAAAAAUCCUAUGCAAAAAUCGAGGCAAUAAUUAGCAUGUAUGAAAAAACCUAAAAGGAGCACACAAUUUGCCAUGGAAAAAGUUGGCGUUGGCUUGAUGUUGUGUCAUUACAGAAAAUAAUUGAUUAAUAAUUCUGCUUGAAACUUUUUGAUAAAAGUGAUGCCAACUAUAUGUUCGCUAAAAAUUGCCAUGCUCAAUAAAGUGAAUCUACCAUGUGCUCAUGAAUGAAUUUGCCGUGCUACGAAACAAAGGCCACAAGAAAGAAAAAUGUUAUGAAUGUGCCAUGUGACCAUAAGCCAAUUUGCCAUGUCAACAAGAAUUAAUUUGCCAUGUCAUGAACCCAAUAGGAAUAUUUACCAUUAUCAAUGGCAAACAUGUAUAAAAAUCCUAUUUGUCUCAAAAAAUGUAUCAAAUCCUAUGCAAAAUCAAGGCAAUAAUUGCCAUGUGUGAAAAACCUACAGUAGCGCACAAUUUAGCAUGCAAAAAUCGUCAUUGGCAAUGCAUAUUAAGAAAAUAUCAUGUUUUUUUAUCAAAUUUGCCAUGCUUUAUGAAGAAAAUUUGCCAAUAAUGUGAAACAAUACAAAAAAUGAGAAAACAUUGCCAUGGCAAAUGCAUGCUCAAUUUUGUCAUGGUGUUUUUUUUACCAAAAUCACCAUCGUGUGUGUAAUAUAAUUGUCGUAUAUGUGAAAAUAACACAAAAAAAUGAUCAAGAAAAUUGCCAUGGAAAAAUUCAUAAACAAAAUUGUUGUGUCUUUUUGUUAUCAAAAUUAGAAAUGAAAGAAAUUUUCCAAGAAUGUGAAGUAAUAGAAAAUGAUCAAAAAAUUGCCAUGGGAAAUGCAUGUUAUAUUUUGCCAUGGUAGUUUCACCAAAAUUGCCAUCUUUUGCAUAGCAAAAUUGUUGUGUAUGUGAAAUAACACAAACAAAACGAUCACACAAAUUGCCAUGGCAAAUGCAUAGUAAAAAUGACAUGGCACAUGAAGUAAUAAUGCCAUGGUCCAUAAAAAAUUAUAGAUUUGUCAUGUGCUAUGAACUAAAUUUGCCAUGAUAGUAACAUUGAAAUUGCCAUGGUGAACUAGAAAAUGAUGUCAAAAAUAGAACUAGCUAGCAAAAAGCAUAAUCCAUGAUUUGUAGUAUCGGGCAUGGUGAAUUGAAAAUGCCAUGGUGAAUUUUUGUUGGCAUGGGUAAAACAAUUUCAAUAUCACAUCGCAAAAAAGGAUCUCAAAGUAACCAUGGCAACUUUCUUUGAAUAUACAUGGCAAAGACACAUCAAAAAGUUGACAUCAUAGCAAACAUAUGCUUAGAAACAAAAAAAAAUAUGCUUUACUUGCUAUGAAAACACAUCAAAAGCCACAUAUGCUUUUAGUUGCCAUACAUUUGCUGAUGAAUUAACAACAAGGAUUGCACGGGAACAAAAUGACAAUCCCUGCUCUCGUGAUGGCCUCACCUACCACCCACCCUCUCGCCUCACCUACCGCGAGUAAUGGCGCCGCAAUCACCGCCAUUAAUGGCCGUGCGGGCUUAUCUAGCCCUCCUCUCCCCCUUGCCACAUCGUCUCCCUCCCCUGGCGACUACUCCUUAUCAGAUCUCACGGACCAGUUGAGCGAGAGAGAUGGUGGGGGGCUCGCGGAGGGGUGCAAGAGCGCGGCGGGCGCGUCCCAACCACCAGGCGGCGGCGCCGAUGGCCUCUCUGCCGCCGGUGCUGGUGUUGCAGUUGCCAGUGACCGAGCAGGGAUCGCCAGAGGCAUAUGUGGAGAUGGUUCGCGUGGUAGGGGAGCGAUUCCCGAACCAUGACAACUGGCUGGCGAUCCUCAUCGAGGUCAUCCAACACGCGACGUUCGAGGAGCGUGCGCGAUUCGCCGGCGACGAUGGGGGGAUGGAUUACGAGCUCAUCUUCUAGGCCAUCCAGGAGGCGGAUUUCACGGAUCCGAGGCAGGCGGCGAAGUGGGCAAGAUUCAGGACAAGGAAUCCGUCGCCGCUCAACAUUCGGCUGCCACCGGUGGUGUAGAUCGCCAACAUCCCGCCGGAGUACCUGCCGCCGGGGACUGUUCUGCCACGGGUCCCCUAAGACAUGGGGAGCCCGGCGUGCAUGCCCCGCAGGGCUUCUCCAACCUGUGGGUGCAGCAUGGGAGGAGCGAGGCGCACUUCCUCAAUCUUCCACCAUGGCCGGGCGACCGCGGGGAGAUCCCACAUCUCUGGGGUAAGGUGAGGAAAUUCAGACCCAAUUCACGUGCUCGUUUGAGAUCUGGUAGUGAUUUGGGCGUUGAAUUGAAUGUUAAGGAAGGUAUGGCUGUCCCUUGUGAGAGUAUAUGUGAAUCCACUCCUAUUUUCCCUGAAUCAGUUAGAGAUUCUUGUGAAUCUGUGAUUCCGGCGAGCCAGUCCACCGCCGACGAGCUCGCUUAUGCGGGAGGGGCGGGCUUGGUUUCAAAUCCGGUGGUCCCACAAGCAGGGCCGAAACCUCAACCACUGCCGUUGAUUUCGGGUCGUGUGGUUGGGAAGAAAACGGUCCAUAAAAAUACGCUUUCUACAUCUGCUAGCGGGGAUGGAGAGGAAGUGGCGGAUUUUUAUGGCCAACUUUUGGUGGUUCCCUCUCCCAACCGCCGCCAGCGCCUACAUAUAGAGAGGCAGUCGCCACCAAACCCUAAUUUCGCAAUCCCCAAAUUGUUUUGGGUUAGAAAGGAUCUGUUUAGGGAUAGAAAUUUCUCAGCACAAGAUUGUUUCCCGAUUCGGGCAGUGAGCAGAUUUGAUCUGACCCCUACUAUCUUUAAAAUUUCCACUGAGAAGCUAGGUUUCCCUAGAUCGUUUGUUGAAGUGAUUAAGGGAGGGAUGGAGCGAGGGCAGGGAGGGCAGCGACAACGCUGUCCGCCGUCGGGGAAGAAACCUGCGCCACCGGAGGGGAAAGCUGCGGCCCCGCCGGCCGGUGCUGCUACAAUGGCAGGUGAUGUCAAGCAGGGGCAACAACCUCCCAAGCAGGGGCAGCAACCUCCCAAGUAGGCGACGCGGGGGGUCCAGCAGCAGCAAGUGGUCGAGGCAACAGUCCAAGCUCCACCUCCUCCUCCUGUUGCUACAGUUCAAGCGUUGGAUCCAAGGUACAAGGACAUGACCUGCUUUAACUGUAGUUGGCUGAGGCACUAUGUGGGGAACUGCAUUGAACCGAAGAAAUGCUUUAUUUGCGCAGGAGGUCAUAACGUCAAUAACUGCGCUGCCUGGGUGAAACCACAUCCUACAGCGACAUACUUUGGCAGCGUAGCAGCUGGCCUGGGGUUUUAUCACAUUGAUGUUCCUACCGCGUCAGAACUAAGCUGGCUUAAUUACAAGAACUGUGCAGUUCUCAAAGUUGUUAAGGGUGAGGUUUCUGCCUCGGAGUUGCUGAUUCAGCUUAAUGGGAUUUUUUGUAAAAACAAAGAAUGGCCUUGGCAGAUUAGGGAUUUGCGAGAGAAGAAAUUAUUGCUGAGAUUUCCACCUUGGAAGAAUGUGGAAGACCUGAUUGAGUUUCCUGCUUUUGAGCUCCCAAUUGAUGGUGUUUCUAUCAAGAUCUGUGAAUGGGUGGGAAUGUUGGAUGAAUUUGGAGGACUUACUGAGGCAUGGGUUCAAAUUGAAGGGAUUCCUCCAAAGUGGUGUGCCUGGAAGGUUUUUUCCCAGAUUACAGCCUGCUUUGGGAUCCUGGUAGAUGUGGACUGGAAUGGUAUAUUUAAGAGUUUCUAUGAGAAUAUCAGAGUGAAAGUGGCUUGUAGAGAUCCCAGGAAAAUUCCUUUUGAGAUGUUAGUGGAAAUGAAAAGGAAGCUAUACAUUCUGUUCUUCACUGUUGAGGGUUUUGAGCACUUGGGGGAGGACUCUGAUGGAGAUGAUCUAGAUCCAAAUGUGGACAAUAUGGAGAAAGAGGAGGAAGAUAACAAUGAAGACAUGUCUGACAAAGAUAAAACACAAGAAGAAGAUAUGGGGGACCUAUUGAUGAACUGGAUAAGGCUAAUUUCCCUUCCAAGAACACUCUGGCUGCAAGCUCUAGUCAGUCAAACCCACAGAGAGCUGCUUCUGCUGUUGAAUUUCACCCUCCCAACAUGCUGGACACAAUUCAUGAGGAUUUUGUGGAUGAAAUUAGGAGCAAAAUGCCAGAGAAGAAGAAAUAGGCAGAUAAUGAAAAAUCCACUCCUGUAAAGACCUUUCCUUCUAGAAGAUCUGAUUCCUUGUCAGUACAUAUGGAAUAUUGCUCUGCACAAUUAAGCAAAUUUGAAAUGGUUGAGACUGAUGAGGAGGAGGAAGAAUUGGUGGAUGAAAUGCAAUGUUUACCUGAUGAUUUGGCUUUGGCAAUGGGAUCUGUCAAAAGAUCUCUGCUGGAAACUCUGGAAAGUGUGGAAUCGGUAUAGAAGAAAAAACCAAGCGUCAAAAAUUCUCCUACUUGGGGACCAGUUCUUGGUAAAUCAUUUGCUAUCCUUGACCCUGAUGUUCUUAUCUCUAACACUAGUAAAGUUGAUUUAUGCGUUGGGAGUAGCAUUGAAGAACACGUAGCUAUUGUCAUGGAUAUGAUAGAUGAGGAGAAAAAUCGUUGCCUUAAGUUUGCUGAUGAUAACUCGGAGAUUGUUCUCCCUGAGAACCUUGACUUAGAAACAGGGGUUGAUGAGAUCGAAGCUAUUAACAGUGACCUUCACAUUAAUGGUUCGGAUGGCAUUGCUGGACCGUUAAUGGAAAGUCCUAUCUUGAACACAAAAAAGAA